ACCCAGCUGACGUGUCCCAAAUAGGACGAAACGCGCGUCCUGGAU
rnacentral:hammerhead_ribozyme from 1 species